ensembl:snoRNA
UGUGAGAGUGAUAAAUUGCACUCUGUCGUGGCACUGGUUGCAGUGGCACAGGUGUCUCGUCCUGCACUUCGCUGGGGACACACCAUGUGCACAGGGGCCAUCUGACUCACC